AUCCCACAAGUAACACAUGGCCGUGGGGACAGAAUGGAGCUAAAAGGACACCAAGGGAAGCAGAAGGAGAUAGAGGGAGAUUGGAGGGAGGGCCUUCGGACUUUGUCAUCAGUCAUGCCACUGACGUCACCUGCUCACACAAAGCACAGUCAAUCCGGUCCAUGUACGGAUCUGGUAAUUGGAUUUUCCGUUCUGAAACGGGUAUUGAAAAACAAAAAUGAGUGGUUAUUUGAUUUUCGUUUUAAAAUACAAAAAUUAAAAUUGAAAUACAAGGCGUUUUUCCUUUUCAUGAUCAAAAAGGGAUAUACGAUUUUUUUUUAAAUGCUUUGAUUUUUGUUUUAUAUUUAGAAUAACAAGAAAGUAAAAUCAGAGACAGAAACGAAAAAAGGUCCGUUUUUUCAUUUUCUGAGACCGGAAGUGGUCAUCAGCUAGUGUGGAGCUAAACGACAAGAUUCUCAGAGGGCGGAGCCAGACAGCAGUGGUUGGUCAGACCAUAGAUAAUAUAGAAGACAGCGCGCUAGCGUAUCUAGUGUUGUAUGUAACUAUGGUCGGAAGGUCUGGCAGCAUCUCUGGCUGCUGUUGACCUUGUUUUUGGAGUAAAACACGGUGGAAGCUGAAUUAGUGAGGAUGACUCCUGCUCCUGUCAUCUCUAAGCUCCUCACACAUCUUUACCUGCACAUGAGGAAAAUCACUCCUGUAGAAUGCAGAUGUUCAGAGGGAGAUGAUGCCACAUCUGGUCCAGCUGAUGGAAGGUCUUGAAGUUCUCUGACUGGCCUCGACUGAAGAUGGUCGUCUCACUGGAUUUAAGGUUCAGAUGCUCAGUAACAAACUCCACCAAUGAGCCAACAGGGAAGCUUUAGGUUUAUUAAAUGUUGCUAUGAAGGUAUCACUGUUUUAUUUUGUGAAUGCAAUGUGCUCCAACUGAAACUUGAAUUAGAACUUAGAAGUAAAUCCUUCCAUCUGAAAGGAUUUAGUUGCAUUAAUAACCUCAUAACAUUCAAAUUUUUAUUCCAGUCUUGGUUGGAAAUAGAAUCUCUGUAUUGAUUCAGGUAAGAACUGAACUUCACAGCAUGUUGGAGCAAAACAACCAGAUGAAAACUGUGAUGGUGUUGGAUUGUCAGACUGUAAUGUUGCAGCUCAAAGCAGCUUUUCUAGCUCAGUUCAUUCUGACAUUCAGCUAUGAAUCAACACAGCAGAUGGUGAUCCAUGCUGUGGAAGUCUCACAUCUCCUGAUUUAAUGGAGCUGCUUGGCACUUUUUACACUGUUUAUUCACCAACACUUUAUUUAAUAAAAGUCCCAUCUAGUUUUUAUGAGGAAUGUGAUGUUUUAAUUCUCUGUGAAUAACUGCAGUCUAAUGCAACAGCUGGAGUUGUAACAUCUGUCCUGAUAUUGAUCAUGAAGUAUUGAUCAGAAUACUUAUGGUCAGCAGUCAUCCCUGAAGUUUUACAUUAAAAUCUUUACUUGUGUUGUGAACUUUGGUAAGAAGCAGAAACGUUAGCGUUGCCAUGGAUAUAUGAGUGUUUAAUUCUGUCCAUGUUUCCAUUUUGGGAAAUGCAGUCCAGUUCCAGAAUGUGGAGGAAUUUAGUCUCACAAUCACAGACAACAAAUAUUAUCUGAAAGUCGGGUUAUUGUUGUUUAUCAGCACAAUACAAAAAGAUUAAUGUUAGAAAUAUUCCAGUUAAGACUCUAGAAUAUCAUGAUUUAUGUAAAUUUACCUCAAUAAUAUGAAUGUUCAGGUUAAGACUGUGCAGUGAUAUUAUGUAAGUUUAGCUGAUUAAAGUUUAUGACUCUGCACUAAAAUAUUAUUUAAAUUGACAUCAUUAUUAUAAUAUUUAGGGUCAGACCCUACAGUAUUGAGAUUAAGAAAUCAAAUAUUCUAUAAAAUGUAAAUACACUGAACUCAUUUGGAUAUAUUUUAGUGAGACUCUACAAUAUUAUUUGACACAAAUCUAUCUAAAUCAAAGUUUUAAUAAUUUUCACGCCAAACAUUUCCUGGACUGAUUUAAAUAUUAAAAUCACUCCUUUCUAAUCCUCUGCUGUGUGUUCAAACCUGAGGCCUUAAAUAGAAACACACAAGUAUCUGUUUGAAGGAACUUCUGUAGAGUCCUGGUUCCAGAACAUGAUGAUAGAAUUAUAGACAAACUUUAACAAAAGCUGCCUGAGAGUUUACAGGUUUUUAUGUUAGAUUUUGUUCAGUAGUUUAAUGAGUUAUCAGCAAAAAUCUAAUGUUGAUUUGAUGAACUUCAUUUCCUAAAACAUCCAGAAUUGGCGCUCAUAUCUUUGGCAGCUGUAAAGUUUCUGCUCCUUCAAAGUUGACAACACAAUGAAUGAAUUCCUAAAACACUCUCAAUGCUGGAGAGCGUUUGUGAUGCUGAAGCAGUGAUCAGUUUUUCAGUUUCUUCUCUGGAGAUGCACAAUGAGGGACGUCUGCAGCGACUGAGAAAGAGUCUCACCGCAUCCUGACAUGAGGAAAAAGACUUUAUUGAAGACUACAAUGAGAAAAACUAUCAGACAGCAGACGGCUGCAUUCAAGUCUGUAGCUGCUGAAUUCAUGGAUGAAUCAUCUGGCACUAGAGAAGAAGACCAUCAAACAUCCAUGUCAGCUGAUGGAGGUCCAAGAGUCUCACCAAACAACCUACAGAGUGAAGACCUCAAAUCUGAUUGGACGGCCUCCUACUCAGCCACGUGUGAACAAAUGCCUCUAAGUUGAUUUGUUUUCUAAAAUAAAUCUAGUUUGAGUCCUAAUCUAUGCCUGUGUGUUUGCUUCUUUACACCGCUGUUAACAGUUUAGGCUGUUAGAUUGUUCCAGAUAAGACAAGUACAAGAUACUUCAGAGCCGUUCUACCAAGAGCCUGACAGGAAGAACUCCAACAGCUACUGAAUGUUCCUGUGGUCCCCUCAAGGCUACAGAAGGAGCCCUACGAGGACGAGCCGGUCCACCUGAUGGCGGCCAGUCGCUGCGGUUCAAAGCCAACACCGACUACGUGGACUUCUACUGGACCACACGGAGGCCUUCAAACCGGACCAACAAGUUCAGCGACUCCCCGACUCGUGGGUCUGAGGACGCCGCCGAGCCUCGGCCCAGCCGACCUCCUGUCUGUGGGUGUUUGAGUGCUGAGAGGUUUGUGGAUGCAUGUGAACGUAUCUGUGUUGAAACAGCAGCUUUUGACUCACUAACGCCGGGAAAAACCAAGAGUUCCUUUAUUUGUGACUUCCACUAAAAAAACUGAUGAAAAUAAGUUUGCCAGGGUUCUGACUGAUAAGAGAUUAUUAAAUAAUGAAAAUAACAGUUUAAAUAUUCCUUUAAACAACUACAUUUCCUUACACUGACUUCUUGGUAUAUGUACAAGUAUUUUGGGUGGACUAUACCAAUAAGCCCAAUGUUCAAAGGUUCUUCUGGGAAUAUACCAUUAAACCAACCUUUUAGGUAAAUGUUCCAGGAUGUUGUGUAGAAUAUACCAUCAGAUCAACCUCCAAGGUCUACAGUAGUGAAUUUUAGGUGGAAUAUACCAUUAAACUCA